UACGAGGGGGGCAAAUGUUGUUCGGAAUCACUGGGCGUAAAGGGCGCGUAGGCGGCCUUCUAAGUCAGACGUGAAAUCCCCCGGCUUAACCUGGGAACUGCGUCUGAUACUGGGAGGCUAGAGUAUGGGAGAGGGAUGUAGAAUUCCAGGUGUAGCGGUGAAAUGCGUAGAUAUCUGGAGGAAUACCGGUGGCGAAGGCGGCAUCCUGGACCAUUACUGACGCUGAGGCGCGAAAGCUAGGGGAGCAAACGGG
rnacentral:rRNA from 1 species